rnacentral:rRNA from 1 species
CCAGACUCCUACGGGAGGCAGCAGUGGGGGAUAUUGCACAAUGGGGGGAACCCUGAUGCAGCGACGCCGCGUGGGUGAAGGAGCACCUCGGUGCGUAAAGCCCUAUCGGCAGGGAAGAAACAGACGGUACCUGACUAAGAAGCCCCGGCUAACUACGUGCCAGCAGCCGCGGGAAUACGUAGGGGGCAAGCGUUAUCCGGAUUCACUGGGUGUAAAGGGAGCGUAGACGGCGACGCAAGUCUGGAGUGAAAGCCCGGGGCCCAACCCCGGGACUGCUCUGGAAACUGCGGCGCUGGAGUGCGGGAGGGGCAGGCGGAAUUCCUGGUGUAGCGGUGAAAUGCGUAGAUAUCAGGAGGAACACCGGCGGCGAAGGCGGCCUGCUGGACCGUGACUGACGUUGAGGCUCGAGAGCGUGGGGAGCAAACAGGAUUAGAUACCCCCGUAAA